GAUGAACGCUAGCUACAGGCUUAACACAUGCAAGUCGAGGGGAAACGACAUCGAAAGCUUGCUUUUGAUGGGCGUCGACCGGCGCACGGGUGAGUAACGCGUAUCCAACCUGCCCAUCACUUGGGGAUAACCUUGCGAAAGUAAGACUAAUACCCAAUGAUAUCUCUAGAAGACAUCUGAAGGAGAUUAAAGAUUUAUCGGUGAUGGAUGGGGAUGCGUCUGAUUAGCUUGUUGGCGGGGUAACGGCCCACCAAGGCGACGAUCAGUAGGGGUUCUGAGAGGAAGGUCCCCACAUUGGAACUGAGACACGGUCCAAACUCCUACGGGAGGCAGCAGUGAGGAAUAUUGGUCAAUGGGCGGCAAGCCUGAACCAGCCAAGUAGCGUGAGGGAA
rnacentral:rRNA from 1 species